rnacentral:tRNA from 1 species
GGAGCCAUCGUUCAACGGUUAGGAUACGGCACUGUCACUGCUGAGAUGGGGUUUCGAUUACCCCUGGUUCCGCAA